rnacentral:rRNA from 1 species
UACGAAGGGGGCUAGCGUUGCUCGGAAUCACUGGGCGUAAAGCGCACGUAGGCGGCUUUCUAAGUCAGGGGUGAAAUCCUGGAGCUCAACUCCAGAACUGCCUUUGAUACUGGGAGCUCGAGUCCGGAAGAGGUGAGUGGAACUCCGAGUGUAGAGGUGAAAUUCGUAGAUAUUCGCAAGAACACCAGUGGCGAAGGCGGCUCACUGGCCCGGUACUGACGCUGAGGUGCGAAAGCGUGGGGAGCAAACAGG